UACGAAGGGGGCUAGCGUUGCUCGGAAUCACUGGGCGUAAAGCGCACGUAGGCGGGUUGUUAAGUCGGGGGUGAAAUCCUGGAGCUCAACUCCGGAACUGCCUUCGAUACUGGCGACCUUGAGUCCGGGAGAGGUGAGUGGAACUCCGAGUGUAGAGGUGAAGUUCGUAGAUAUUCGGAAGAACACCAGUGGCGAAGGCGGCUCACUGGCCCGGUACUGACGCUGAGGUGCGAAAGCGUGGGGAGCAAACAGG
rnacentral:rRNA from 1 species